rnacentral:rRNA from 1 species
UACGUAGGGGCCAAGCGUUGUCCGGAUUUAUUGGGCGUAAAGAGCUCGUAGGCGGUUGGGUAAGUCGGGUGUGAAAACUCCAGGCUCAACUUGGAGAUGCCACCCGAUACUGCUCUGACUUGAGUUCGGUAGGGGAGUGGGGAAUUCCUGGUGUAGCGGUGAAAUGCGCAGAUAUCGGGAGGAACACCAAUGGCGAAGGCAGCUCGCUGGGACGGUGCUGACGCUGAGACGCGAAAGCGUGGGGAGCAAACAGG